rnacentral:rRNA from 1 species
CGCGCAGGUGGUUCCUUAAGUCUGAUGUGAAAGCCCACGGCUCAACCGUGGAGGGUCAUUGGAAACUGGGGAACUUGAGUACAGAAGAGGAAAGUGGAAUUCCAAGUGUAGCGGUGAAAUGCGUAGAGAUUUGGAGGAACACCAGUGGCGAAGGCGACUUUCUGGUCUGUAACUGACACUGAGGCGCGAAAGCGUGGGGAGCAAACAGGAUUAGAUACCCUGGUAGUCCACGCCGUAAACGAUGAGUGCUAAGUGUUAGAGGGUUUCCGCCCUUUAGUGCUGCAGCUAACGCAUUAAGCACUCCGCCUGGGGAGUACGGCCGCAAGGCUGAAACUCAAAGAAAUUGACGGA